GGCGGAGGUUGCAGUGAGACCGGAUCGCUCUCCACUGGGCGACAGAUUUGAAUCUACGCUGUGCCCAUCUUGCAGAUGAAGAUUUCCCCAAGCCGUUACAGAUGGUUCCCUACCCAUUCCAGAGCUGCUAAUUAUAACCACCAGCUUCAGGCGGUAGGCUGAGACCUUUAUUGUUUUGUGUCAUUUAGUCAUCAGUAAACCCCAUGGAAUAAAGCAAAGUAUGUCUGCUCUACAAAUGAGAAAAUUGAGGCCCAGAGAGACUGCCCAAGGUCCCUCACAGUAAAAGAAUGUCUGAGGAUUCAAACCCAUAUCAUUUUGAUGCCACAAAGCCAGUGUGCCCUUGACCCUCCAUCGCCCAGGACCUUAAAAUUUCCUGACAGUGACUGGCAUUCUCCCUGCGGGUUGUGAACAGGAAACUGCAUUUCAGGGAUGGACGGUGGCGGGAGCAGUCGCUCUCGGGAGCCUCUCCUUCCCCUGGCUGUGGGACCCUAGAGGCUGGUGUCCGCUGAGCUGGAAACUGGACUUCUGCCCAGAUCUUUGAACGACCCCACGGUCCAGCGGCAGCUGUGGCUGGGGUCUAUCCCAGAGUCCAUUGCCCCUCUCUGGGUUAAAAGGAUAGCCCACCUGGUUGCAGAGAUUGAAAGGACUAAUUGUGAAAAUGCUUUUCAAAGGAGAAAGUGUAAUAUGCAAAUACCAAAUAUUACACUAUAUUUCAAGGACUCAUUUUAAUACUUUAUACUCUGUUAACUAAAUCCUCCCAAAGUGCUGGGAUUAUGGGCAUGAGGCACUGUGCCCAGCCUGGUUUAUUUUCUUUUAAAAUAUGUGUGGUCUUGCCAUGUUUCUAGAACACACUCUCAGCCCAUCUGUUUUCCAUCUCUUACAGGAUGCUUCUAGCUGCUCUCCUGGGUGGAACAUCACAGAAAUCAUCCCCCUGCCCCACUCUGGGGCUUGGGGCCCUCCUGGUCUGCCAAGAGGUUCC
rnacentral:lncRNA from 1 species